rnacentral:lncRNA from 1 species
GAUUCCUUUUCUCCUCCGCCUGCUGGAAGCACCAGGAGAUUUUUCGCAUGUUCACUGUGAACCCAGUAGAGCCCUAAGAUGUAAAUUCAUAAAAGUAUUGGGGCCAUCAGAUGACUAAGUCCUCUUGGAGUAUUUGCUCUUCACUGAGCUUCAUCAAUUGCAUUUCAGUCUUCCAACUCUGACAGUGGUUCCCAAGGAGGUUUUGGCUUGUGGGUCUCUGCUCAGGCAUUAUGAUACUCCCUGUGGUACACAGAUACUUCUACAACAGCACUUGAUGGCAAGUAGCAAAUAUUUCUUCUUACUUUUUAAAUUUUAUGGGGAAGAACUUCAGAACUCUAAUUAUAAAUGUGUAAGUAAUAAAAACUAUAUACC